UACGUAGGGUGCGAGCGUUAUUCGGAAUUACUGGGCGUAAAGUGUGCGUAGGCGGCCGAGCAAGUCGGGUGUGAAAGCCCCGAGCUUAACUUGGGAACUGCGCUCGAAACUACUUGGCUAGAGUGUGGCAGAGGGAGGUGGAAUUCCACGUGUAGCGGUGAAAUGCGUAGAGAUGUGGAGGAACACCGAUGGCGAAGGCAGCCUCCUGGGCCAACACUGACGCUCAUGCACGAAAGCGUGGGGAGCAAACAGG
rnacentral:rRNA from 1 species